AUUGAACGCUGGCGGCAUGCCUUACACAUGCAAGUCGAACGGUAACGGGCCUUCGGGUGCCGACGAGUGGCGAACGGGUGAGUAAUACAUCGGAACGUGCCCGAUCGUGGGGGAUAACGAGGCGAAAGCUUUGCUAAUACCGCAUACGAUCUACGGAUGAAAGCAGGGGACCGCAAGGCCUUGCGCGGACGGAGCGGCCGAUGGCAGAUUAGGUUGUUGGUGGGAUAAAAGCUUACCAAGCCGACGAUCUGUAGCUGGUCUGAGAGGAUGAUCAGCCACACUGGGACUGAGACACGGCCCAGACUCCUACGGGAGGCAGCAGUGGGGAAUUUUGGACAAUGGGCGCAAGCCUGAUCCAGCCAUGCCGCGUGCAGGAUGAAGGCCUUCGGGUUGUAAACUGCUUUUGUACGGAACGAAAAGCCUUCUUUUAAUACAGGAGGGUCAUGACGGUACCGUAAGAAUAAGCACCGGCUAACUACGUG
rnacentral:rRNA from 1 species